GUGUGAUUCCAGUGGAAAGCAAAAUAACCAAGAAUGCAUUUGUCCAGCUCCUCGACAAGCUUCACAUACAGCGAUUCGUGGUUAGGACACUCAUUUACGUCCUCGAUCCCCAUCUGCCUAGCUGCAAUUACACCAUCAGAACAUGUCAUCCCUUGGAAGAGACAAUAAACGAUGCAGUAAACAAAAUGCAAAAUGUGGAGGAGGACCAGGUGAAAAGCUUUUCAAACAGUUACCAACAUAAUGGGGGAAGCUUUCCAGCUGCUCCACCCGCCCGGACUCGGCCAGCACAAGCACCGGCUGCGGAUCCCUCAUCUGCGGCUACCUCCUCCGUCGCCAGUAGC